GAAACGCGAAAUGUAAUGUGAAUUGCAGAAUCUCAGUGAAUCAUCGAAUCUUUGAACGCACCUUGCGCCCGGUGGCAUUCCGCCGGGCAUGCCUGUCUGAGUGUCCAUUAACCCUCAACCCGCGGCGUUUCGCGACGUUGCGCGGCUUGGAUCGUGGACUUUUUGGUAGGGCGCCCCCUCAGGCGCCCGACCGGUCUCAAACGUAGCUGGUCGUAUACGCUCAUUAGCGGUUGGACCGAGUGUUGUAGAGUUCACCUCGCUCGGGACGCUAAUCGUUCGGCCGACAACGCCCCUAUUGAUUACUCAAUCGAUUUAGACCUCAGAUCAGGUAGGAUUACCCGCUGAACUUAA
rnacentral:misc_RNA from 1 species